rnacentral:rRNA from 1 species
AUACGGAGGGUGCGAGCGUUAAUCGGAAUUACUGGGCGUAAAGGGUGCGCAGGCGGCUUGAUAAGUCGGAUGUGAAAGCCCCGGGCUUAACCUGAGAAUUGCAUUCGAUACUGUCAGGCUAGAGUAUGUCAGAGGUUGGCGGAAUUCCUGGUGUAGCGGUGAAAUGCGUAGAUAUCAGGAGGAACACCAGUGGCGAAGGCGGCUAACUGGGGCAAUACUGACGCUGAGGCACGAAAGCGUGGGGAGCAAACAGGAUUAGAAACCCCAGUAGUCC